GCCUGGGUGGCUCAGUCGGUUAAGCGUCUGACUUCGGCUCAGGUCAUGAUCUCACAGUUUGUGAGUUCGAGCCCCACAUCGGGCU
rnacentral:tRNA from 1 species